rnacentral:rRNA from 1 species
UGAGGAAUNUUGCGCAAUGGGGGCAACCCUGACGCAGCGACGCCGCGUGAGUGAGGAAGGCCUUCGGGUCGUAAAGCUCUGUCAAAGGGAAAGAAGUGCAUGGUKGCUAAUACCUGCCAUGUUGGACGGUACCCUUAAAGGAAGCACCGGCUAACUCCKKG